rnacentral:tRNA from 5 species
GCAUCAUUGGUCUAGUGGUAGAAUCCAUCGUUGCCAUCGAUGGGGCCCGUGUUCGAUUCACGGAUGAUGCA